UGGGGAAUAUUGCACAAUGGAGGGAACUCUGAUGCAGCGACUCCGCGUGAGUGAUGAAGGAAUUCGUUUCGUAAAACUCUGUUCUAUGGGAAGAAAAGGACUGUACCAUAGGAGAAAGCUCCGGCUAAAUACGUGCCAGCAGCCGCGGUAAUACGUAUGGAGCGAGCGUUGUCCGGAAUUAUUGGGCGUAAAGGGUGCGCAGGCGGCUUUACAAGUUGGAUGUGAAAUAUUGUGGCUCAACCACAAACGUGCAUCCAAAACUGCAAAGCUUGAGUUAAGGAGAGGGAAGUGGAAGUCCUGGUGUAGCGGUGGAAUGCGUAGAUAUCAGGAGGAAUACCGGGGGCGAAGGCGACUUACUGGACUUAAACUGACGCUCAGGCACGAAAGAGUGGGGAGCAAACAGG
rnacentral:rRNA from 1 species